CGGUGCUCGGCCCUUCCCGCUCGCUGGGGCUGUGCGGGGCGGCCUGCUGCGGUCGGCGGGUGGGCGGCGGCCGGGCAGAGAGCUGGGAGUUUGCACUCUGGUAAAAGAUUGCCAUUGUUUUGCACUGCAGCCACUCACUGAUGUGGAUCAACUGUGCCAGUCACUCCACCACUGUAAAUACGGAACUGCUUUAUUCAGCUCCCUGAAGCUUAAUCAGCCUGCUUUUAAAACAGCUUGUGAGCCCCUUUGGUCUGAAGCUUCCUCCUACCAGGUUGCUUCAUUUCUCUGCGUCAGAGCACGUGCAUGUGGAAAUGGAGAUCAAAGAGCAUUGUUAAUUGACAGAAGAGGUGUUACAGAGAUUGUCAGUUACCUUUUGCUGCUGAUACCCAUCACCUCUAAUAGAAAUGUAAGAACCCAGAACUGGAAAGGACCAUCUGGAACCAUCUGGAAGCUGUUCCUAGCACUGUGGGCUACUAUAAAUUAGAUAUUUAAUCACAAACAGUGCAUAGAAAAUCUUCUCCACAUGCCAUAGGCCAUAAAACAGUUUGCAUGUAACACAAUUAAGAAAGAUGAUGAUUAAUAAUGAACAUCUAGAACUCUAAUGUGCCAUAAAAAGAACACAGCAUCAAGCACCACCAGCUUCUGAGAACAGGAGAUUAUAAUUUUGGGUUAUAAUGAUUUUAAGAGAUAAAGUGUGGAUUUUGCAGUAAGAAGGCAAAAACAACAACAACAACAAAACAGCUUCUGUUACUGUGACCCGUGAGAUUUCUUCAUUACCUCAAACCUUGCAAUCCACUUAGCUUGGACUAUGUGAUGCAGAUUCGCCUCCCACUCACUUGCUGGAGAGGAGUUCAUGAUGGAAGUGUAUGUUCAUCUCAUUUUCAUUUUCCCCCAUUGAUAAUACCACAUUCUAAUCUGAGCAACAUACUCUGAGAUUCUAACACUCAGUUGCGAGUACUGCUGACUUACAUGCAAUUGAUUAGCUAGCUCUAUAACAAUGUAUACAGACCUCUGUGAAUAGGUCUCCUGUAAAAUGGCAUGCUAGUAUUUAAUUAUAUCAUCUGAAACAAACCGUUAACAAAUUGCUCUGAAGCCACAAUGUUUUAAUUCAAGGAAUCGUUCCUUGUGAAUACAUUUUGACAGACACCAUGUAUCUCCUGUGCAGGACAAUUCAGUGUUAUGACAGUUGCUGAGAACAUUUUUACA
rnacentral:lncRNA from 1 species